AGCAAGUCCCAACGCUAAAGCCAACGGUCAACAAUAAAUGGGUGCAAUCAUUUCAAAAAAUGGAAGAAAUUAAAACGCAAAGAAAAAGGUUUAAAGCAGAAGUUUGUAAUGAAAAGUAAAAAAUCACAACCUCUUCCCUAAAUGAAAACCAUUAUUUCCAGAGAAAACAAACCUUCUCGAUUUAAGGAGAUCCACAGACGAAUAACCGCGACACCAACGAACGUCGGCGACGAAAAUGAGACUCAACCGGAAAGCAACGAACAGAACCAGCUACGAAGAAGUCACACGGCAAUUGGGGCGGCGAACGCUUGCACCUUUCACUCUUUCACCGAUCGAUUCCACUCUAAUGCACUAAAACUCUCCUCCCUUGCCUCCGAUAUGAGCUUCAAUCCAUGGUGGUAACAAGGUGUUUCUGCCAAAAUCCCUUUUUUGUGCUCAGUUGGGGAUUCCCCUGUUUGAUGUUAACUUCGGAAACGUGAAUUCAGAGUAUUGGGGAGGUUGUGGAUGAGGUCGAGUUCAUGCAGAGAUGAUUCUUUUGCUGCAGCUUUCAUGAGCCCUUCAUCAUUACAAUUUUAAGGCCAAAUGCAGGUGCUAG